CGCAUCUGUGCAUGCAGCAUAUCAAUAAGCGGAGGAAAAGAAACUAACAAGGAUUCCCUUAGUAACGGCGAGUGAAGCGGGAAGAGCUCAAAUUUGAAAUCUUCAAGGUUUUACCUUGACGAAUUGUAGUUUAAAGAAGUGUUUUCUGUUGAGGUUUUGGUAAAAGUUCUUUGGAAUAGGACAUCAUAGAGGGUGAGAAUCCCGUAUUUGACCAUUACUUUCAACUUUGUGAUACACUUUCAAAGAGUCGGAUUGUUUGGGAAUGCAGUCCGAAAUGGGUGGUAAAUUUCAUCUAAAGCUAAAUAUUGGCGAGAGACCGAUAGCGAACAAGUACCGUGAGGGAAAGAUGAAAAGAACUUUGAAAAGAGAGUUAAACAGUACGUGAAAUUGUCAAAAGGGAAGCGCUUGACACCAGUGUUGUUUUCUCGAAAAUCAAUUAAAAAGAGUUUAGAUUUUGUUGUGUAUUGACCUUAACAGCUUGCAUUUCAAUUUUCUUGCUUUUUUUAAUGCACUUUUCGUUUAACAAGUCAACAUCAGUUUCUUUUGUUGUAAAAAGGUCAUUGGAAGGUGGCUUUCCUUUCGGAGAAAGUGUUUAUAGCCUUUGACUCCUGCAAUCGGAGAGACUGAGGUCUGCAGCGUAGAUCCUUCGGGGUUAGAUACAUUUGUGCUAAGUUAUAGCUUUUUAUAGACAACUUGUUGACUAUGAUUAGUCUUGUAGCUUACUCGCUUAUGCUAUUUUACCUACGCUUAGGAUGUUGAUGUGAUACUGCGAGCA
rnacentral:rRNA from 1 species